UGCAAUGGACAUGCUCUUAGGAA
rnacentral:siRNA from 1 species